rnacentral:rRNA from 1 species
AGAGUUUGAUCCUGGCUCAGGAUGAACGCUAGCUACAGGCUUAACACAUGCAAGUCGAGGGGCAGCAUGAACUUAGCUUGCUAAGUUUGAUGGCGACCGGCGCACGGGUGAGUAACACGUAUCCAACCUGCCGAUGACUCGGGGAUAGCCUUUCGAAAGAAAGAUUAAUACCCGAUGGCAUAGUUCUUCCGCAUGGUAGAACUAUUAAAGAAUUUCGGUCAUCGAUGGGGAUGCGUUCCAUUAGGUUGUUGGCGGGGUAACGGCCCACCAAGCCUUCGAUGGAUAGGGGUUCUGAGAGGAAGGUCCCCCACAUUGGAACUGAGACACGGUCCAAACUCCUACGGGAGGCAGCAGUGAGGAAUAUUGGUCAAUGGACGAGAGUCUGAACCAGCCAAGUAGCGUGAAGGAUGACUGCCCUAUGGGUUGUAAACUUCUUUUAUACGGGAAUAAAGUGAGGCACGUGUGCCUUUUUGUAUGUACCGUAUGAAUAAGGAUCGGCUAACUCCGUGCCAGCAGCCGCGGUAAUACGGAGGAUCCGAGCGUUAUCCGGAUUUAUUGGGUUUAAAGGGAGCGUAGGCGGGUUGUUAAGUCAGUUGUGAAAGUUUGCGGCUCAACCGUAAAAUUGCAGUUGAUACUGGCGACCUUGAGUGCAACAGAGGUAGGCGGAAUUCGUGGUGUAGCGGUGAAAUGCUUAGAUAUCACGAAGAACUCCGAUUGCGAAGGCAGCUUACUGGAUUGUAACUGACGCUGAUGCUCGAAAGUGUGGGUAUCAAACAGGAUUAGAUACCCUGGUAGUCCACACAGUAAACGAUGAAUACUCGCUGUUUGCGAUAUACAGUAAGCGGCCAAGCGAAAGCGUUAAGUAUUCCACCUGGGGAGUACGCCGGCAACGGUGAAACUCAAAGGAAUUGACGGGGGCCCGCACAAGCGGAGGAACAUGUGGUUUAAUUCGAUGAUACGCGAGGAACCUUACCCGGGCUUAAAUUGCAGAUGAAUUACGGUGAAAGCCGUAAGCCGCAAGGCAUCUGUGAAGGUGCUGCAUGGUUGUCGUCAGCUCGUGCCGUGAGGUGUCGGCUUAAGUGCCAUAACGAGCGCAACCCUUAUCUUUAGUUACUAACAGGUCAUGCUGAGGACUCUGGAGAGACUGCCGUCGUAAGAUGUGAGGAAGGUGGGGAUGACGUCAAAUCAGCACGGCCCUUACGUCCGGGGCUACACACGUGUUACAAUGGGGGGUACAGAGGGCCGCUACCACGCGAGUGGAUGCCAAUCCCAAAAACCUCUCUCAGUUCGGACUGGAGUCUGCAACCCGACUCCACGAAGCUGGAUUCGCUAGUAAUCGCGCAUCAGCCACGGCGCGGUGAAUACGU